GUGUUGCCAUGGAAAUGACUGUACAUUGAUCACUGUCCUCCUCUGGAGAAGAGAGAUCAGCUUUCUGAGGGUCACAUGAUCCCAUGGAUGGGGACUCCGAGGCAGUCUCGGCACUGCAGCUGCAAGGGAAGGAGCAGAAGCCAAUCAACAUCAUAUCUGUGCAAAGGUGCAGCCAUCACUAGGAGUGAGGAGGACUCUAACAGAAGGGGCAUACCAGGAUUCAUGAAGCAAGAAAGGAGAUUAGUCGCUCUAUAAAUAGAGAGUGACCAUCCGUGUAUGGAAGACAUAAGAUCUAGUGUGGAUUCCUUUAUUGGAAGAGAACGGGGCUGCCGUUGAGACUCUCCGGGGAAACAGUUCAGAAGGGGCUUUGCAAGUGCCUGGGAAGAAGUCUGAAGAGUCAGCCAAACGGCCGGGGAAAGUAUCCCGGGGAGAUGGUGGUGUUUUGCUCUAGAAAGCCAGACACUGGAGGGGAAGACCGGGAGCUGCAUGUGGGUUUCUGCUAAAGGACUGAGGAAAAAGCCUUGUGAGCCCCUGGACAAAGGGGUGAGCCCUGCGCUGAUGGGAGACUUUGGACUUCCCCCUGGAAAGUGGGGAAUUAGCAGGCAAUGGGAUGUGGGCUCAACUAUCCAGCCCAAAGAGGAAAACUACACGCUGGAGAGCUAAGCCAACCCAAGCCACUAGUAUGCCAGCUGUUUGCUGGAAGCCCCCACAUGUUGUUUCAUUCCCAUCAAAGAAGCCGUGCUCUUCUUUCAGGGGAGGAGGAGGCCCCCGCUACCUAUUUUUGUCAGCCAGCAGCUCUGUCACAGGAGACUGAAAUCUAACACAGAGAUGCCCCGGGGCCAGAGAGAAGCUCACCAGGGGCUCAGGGCUUAACACAAGGUGCCCUCUCUGGGUUGACUUCUGUGGCAGGGAUUCUGCAUACAUCCAGACUGGCCCCUUUUUGGCGAAUGUCUCUAGCUGCAUGUUCCAUACAUACAGCAAGCCCCAAAAUGCCGAACACAAAGCAGGACCCAGAAAGGGCGACUUCCCCGGAGCUCACUGCCCUGAACUGGUCACCACAGGUCCUGUCCCCCCUGUGUCGCCCUCCCGAGGGCAGCUCCCUUCUGUCAAGGUACCGAGCCUAAGUAAACUCCAGUGUCCAGGCUGGGAGUGCCCCCCUGAACUGCCUCUGAACUGUGGUUGGGCAUUAGCCCCUAGGAAGGCCACAGGGCAUGCCCGGGGCACCAAAAGGCAAGUCCACUGCAUGACCAGGGCCAGACAGGAACAUCUUUGAUUAAACUCCCUGUUCCUCCCUCCCCCACAAUUUGAUGUUAAUGUAAAGUCGGAUUAUUAAAAAGGAGAUCCAGGAAACAGCAAAGAUGACUCUUGUCAAAGCACUCAAUUAGCUAAUUGCAGAGAACAGGCCCCAGGGAUGCUCAUCUCCAUAGCCUGAAUAUUUC